rnacentral:rRNA from 1 species
UAGGGAGUCUUCCACAAUGGGCGAAAGCCUGAUGGAGCAACGCCGCGUGUGUGAUGAAGGGUUUCGGCUCGUAAAACACUGUUGUAAGAGAAGAAUGACAUUGAGAGUAACUGUUCAAUGUGUGACGGUAUCUUACCAGAAAGGGACGGCUAAAUACGUGCCAG